GCCCGGCUAGCUCAAUCGGUAGAGCGUGAGACUCUUAUUCAUAAUCUGCAAUCUCAAGGUUGCGGGUUCGACCCCCGCGUUGGGCU